rnacentral:rRNA from 1 species
UACGUAGGCAGCGAGCGUUGUUCGGAAUUGCUGGGCGUAAAGAGUGUGUAGGCGGUGCUCCCAGUCUGUUGUGAAAUCUCCCGGCUUAACUGGGAGGGUGCAGCGGAAACUAGAGUGCUAGAGGGUGGGAGAGGUAAGCGGAAUUCCAGGUGUAGCGGUGAAAUGCGUAGAUAUCUGGAGGAACACCGGUGGCGAAGGCGGCGUCCUGGACCAACACUGACACUGAUGAGCGAAAGCCAGGGGAGCAAACGGG